rnacentral:rRNA from 1 species
CUACGGGUGGCAGCAGUUAGGAAUAUUUUGCAAUGCGCGUAAGCGUGACAAAUUGAACCAGAGUGAUUUUCAAAUUUGAAAGUCUUUUAUGAAAUGUAAAAAGUUUCUUGAAUAAGGACUGGGUAAGACGAGUGCCAGCCGCCGCGGUAAUACUCGCGGUCCAAGUCGCAGCCAUUUUUAUUGGGUCUAAAACAUCCGUAGCUUGUUUGGUAAGUUUCCUGUGAAAUUUCGUAUCUCAAAUACGAAGCGUGCAAGAAAUACUGCCAGGCUAGAGACUGGAAGACGUGAGAAGUACGUUCUAAGUAAUGGUAAAAUAUGUUAAUCUAGAACGGACUCACAAUAGCGAAGGCAUCUCACGAGGACAGUUCUGACAGUAAGGGAUGAAGGCUAGGGGCGCAAAACGGAUUAGAUACCCUUGUAGUC